UUACCUUUCUUGGCCUUUUGGCUAAGAUAAAGUGUAGUAUCUGUUCUUAUCAGUUUUAUAUUUGAUAUGUGGUCCAUCAGUUCACGUGAUAUUCACUUAUUUUUAAGGAGAAGGGUCUAUCCAGAUAGCUUGCGAUAUGGGCCCUUUACGUCUCUCCUAGGUGUUGCACUAUAGCCCAAGCCUGGCGUACCCCAC